GGUUAUCUCCAUCUUUUCCUGCCCAUCAUAUCCACUACUACAAACAGUUUUGGGUUUGAUUUCUCCCACGUCCCCUCCCCACGGUUCUUGUAACUUCCUACCCUUCCUUUUAAUAGGGAUCUCAAACCUACAUUUUUGCCAUUCCCCUUCAUCGCUCUGUAUCAAUCCAUUGCUCUUUGAAAAGUAAAAGUGAAGCAUCGAUUUCGUCGCAACACCGAUUCCAAGCAUUUGUGUGUGUGUAAUUUCCAGUUAAAACUCAAGAACCAACCAAGGGUUUGUUGUUUGAUCAGGAUUGAGAUGGCGAGUUCAGUAGAGGCUGCCGGAGAACCUGUUCCGAUGUCGGCGGUGCUAAUGUCGGCGUCGAAGCACAUCGCCGUAAGAUGAAGAGUGUUUGUUUGUCGGUGCUUUCAAGUCAAAUUCAGACAGUCUCCUUACAGCGAUACAGCCUCCUAAGCUCUGCUGGAAAGGUUUUUGAUGCUAUCAAUUUGCAAUCCGCAAGGCGUUGUGAUAUGAUGUGCGGUUGAGAUAUAUACGCAUCUUAAUCGAUCAAUGCUCAUUUGGUCUGUUUUCAAAGAAAGAAGAAAAAGGUCAAAGAGAAAGAAGAGUCGGAUGAUAAGCAAACAUCAGGGUAUCAAGUUCAGUCUAGGCUUCAACUGCUACAAGGACUAUUAUACGUAAAGGAACCGUACUGAUGUAUUCUAGGAAGCAAUCGUUUCUCAUCAUUUAUAAUGGACGAUGUACAUUGGGAGAUCUGGAUACAUAUCUAUCAUUGGGAGCAAAGCUUACUUGCUUAUUGCUGUUGUUGGCGCCUGUACGGUUGCAAACUUGCAACAACCCAGGUGAAAAGGGUUUGAAGUAGGUGAAACUCUUGAUAUGUUAAAGAAUAAAGAGUCCAAUGAUAAUGGGGAUAAGAGACAAGUCUAGGGGAUGCCGACACCAAGAACAACGACAUGACCAUCAUUUUGUCACAGUGGCGUUAUUGAAACUCUCCCUGCCUACUCUGAAGAUAACAAUGGACAUUAGGGCUUGAUCAAAUACAACUCUAAACUUGGUUGCAUGCCAAUCACAGUACCCAUCAUUUGAGUGGUAUAAAGGUUUGAAGAGAUGGAAAGGCGUAAACUAGGAGAGAUUUCCAUUGAAGACCUGCCAAGUGUCUUGAAGCUGAGGAAUGAACUUUGCCUAGCGCGCAGGCACACACACACCGGAUGUGUAUACAACUAAUGUUUUUGUUUGGAAUGCAAAGCCCGUCCACCGGACGAGUAUUAAACUAGUUUUAAUGAUUUAAAACAUCCAUAUAUGCUUAAGAAAGUUAAUAUUAUUUUCUUUGUAAAAUCCAUGGUUGUCACACCACUUUCUGAGGCGGAAGCACGAGGUGUGAUCUUGAAAAGUUAUCAUUCCAUACGAUAAGUAAACAUACUGCAUGAUAUAAAACAAACUCCAAUUUGCAAUUCCAAAGUUUAAUCAUCCAAAAAACAAUUUAGUUUAAAGUUUACAUCUCAACAAAAGAUAAUUACUUGAAAGUUUACAACA
rnacentral:lncRNA from 1 species